rnacentral:rRNA from 1 species
UCCUUAGAUGUUCUGGGCCGCACGCGCGCUACACUGACCAGUGCAACAAGCAUCCGUCCUUGGCCGACAGGCCCGGGCAAUCUUUGAACGCUGGUCGUGAUGGGGAUAGACUUUUGCAAUUUUUGGUCUUCAACGAGGAAUUCCUAGUAAACGCAAGUCAUCAACUUGCAUUGAUUACGUCCCUGCCCUUUGUACACACCGCCCGUCGCACCUACCGAUUGAAUGGUCCGGUGAAGCCUCCGGAUUGGCGCGCACCUCGGUGCCGCCGAGAAGUUGGCUAAACCUUACCAUUUAGAGGAAGGUGAAGUCGUAACA